UGGGGAAUUUUGGACAAUGGGCGAAAGCCUGAUCCAGCAAUGCCGCGUGUGUGAAGAAGGCCUUCGGGUUGUAAGCACUUUUGUCCGGAAAGAAAUCCUUGGCUCUAAUACAGUCGGGGGAUGACGGUACCGGAAGAAUAAGCACCGGCUAACUACGUGCCAGCAGCCGCGGUAAUACGUAGGGUGCAAGCGUUAAUCGGAAUUACUGGGCGUAAAGCGUGCGCAGGCGGUUUGCUAAGACCGAUGUGAAAUCCCCGGGCUCAACCUGGGAACUGCAUUGGUGACUGGCAGGCUAGAGUAUGGCAGAGGGGGGUAGAAUUCCACGUGUAGCAGUGAAAUGCGUAGAGAUGUGGAGGAAUACCGAUGGCGAAGGCAGCCCCCUGGGCCAAUACUGACGCUCAUGCACGAAAGCGUGGGGAGCAAACAGGAUUAGAUACCCUGGUAGUCCACGCCCUAAACGAUGUCAACUAGUUGUUGGGGAUCAUUUCCUUAGUAACGUAGCUAACGCGUGAAGUUGACCGCCUGGGGAGUACGGUCGCAAGAUUAAAACUUAAAUGAAUUGAC
rnacentral:rRNA from 1 species